rnacentral:rRNA from 1 species
AUUGAACGCUGGCGGCAGGCCUAACACAUGCAAGUCGAGCGGAUGAAGGGAGCUUGCUCCUGGAUUCAGCGGCGGACGGGUGAGUAAUGCCUAGGAAUCUGCCUGGUAGUGGGGGAUAACGUCCGGAAACGGGCGCUAAUACCGCAUACGUCCUGAGGGAGAAAGUGGGGGAUCUUCGGACCUCACGCUAUCAGAUGAGCCUAGGUCGGAUUAGCUAGUUGGUGGGGUAAAGGCCUACCAAGGCGACGAUCCGUAACUGGCCUGAGAGGAUGAUCAGUCACACUGGAACUGAGACACGGUCCAGACUCCUACGGGAGGCAGCAGUGGGGAAUAUUGGGCAAUGGGCGAAAGCCUGAUCCAGCCAUGCCGCGUGUGUGAAGAAGGUCUUCGGAUUGUAAAGCACUUUAAGUUGGGAGGAAGGGCAGUAAGUUAAUACCUUGCUGUUUUGACGUUACCAACAGAAUAAGCACCGGCUAACUUCGUG